CCCACCACAAUAGCUGUGAGCUGCCACAGCAGGGCAUUGGCCUCCUGUUAAUUACCAGAAGGAAACAAUGAGCGGAAAUGGUAUUAGAAAUACCUCCAAGCCGAUAAGGCUUUGAAGAGUUUGGUGGGAGACCUCGGCCAGCUGCCAUAAUGGGCUGCCUUGCCCUCCCCACGCCCCCCACACCGCAACCACGAUCCUGCCCACACACAGGAUUCCAUACAGACAGGGGACGACCACGAACUCUGGCCGGCCCAGGGCAGGCUGGCCCAGGCCAGGGAAGAAUCCAGACCUGAUCAACACAGCUUCUGGAUCCGGCUUCCAAGGCCAGACACCGGGGAAGUUUGGAAAAACACCUCAACGUGAGCCAAAUUGGUGGCUGUGUUUGGAGAAAGAAGAGAAUGAUGCUUCCUCUCCACGCUAAGUGCUACAGUGAACAUCUUUGAAGCUGGAUCUAUGCGCAACCCUCAGGAUUAUUCCACUGCCUGAAAUUCCUAUGGAAGUUCUGGAUCAAUGGUCAUCUACAUUUUAAGGUCUUUGAUGAUAAGGUCGAGCAGGAUUUCAACAGUUCCAGGCUGCGAGCUGUCAGCAAAGAGGCCGACACAGGGCUCAAACC